GAGAGGAGAGAAAGAUCUGUGAGUUGGAAAGCUCGUCCUCCGCAGUCCUACAGAGAUACAGCAAGGAUGUACCCACCUGGCCAAGUGUGCUGAAAAUUGAAUCCAGGGUGUUGUACAUGGUAGGGAAGAACUCCAGCACUGAGCUUGCCUCCACCCCAGUGGAAUUAGUGCUGAAAUCUCAUAUAGGAGUCUUUUCUUUGAAUUACCUAAUUUCUCC